rnacentral:hammerhead_ribozyme from 1 species
GCACUGCUGAAGAGUCCCCGAAACAGGACGAAACAGCUGUCUCCGGUGU